rnacentral:rRNA from 1 species
AUUGAACGCUGGCGGCAGGCCUAACACAUGCAAGUCGAGCGAGCGGCGGACGGGUGAGUAAUGUCUGGGAAACUGCCUGAUGGAGGGGGAUAACUACUGGAAACGGUAGCUAAUACCGCAUACCAUCAGAUGUGCCCAGAUGGGAUUAGCUAGUCGGUGGGGUAACGGCUCACCUAGGCGGCGAUCCCUAGCUGGUCUGAGAGGAUGACCAGCCACCAUGGAACUGAGACACGGUCCAGGCUCCUACGGGAGGGAGCAGUGGGGAAAAUUGCACAAUGGGCGGAAGCCUGAUGCAGGCAUUGCGGGUGUGUUAAGGAGGCCUUCGGGUUGGAAAGGACUUUCAGCGGGGAGGCGUUACCCGCAGAAGAAGCACCGGCUAACUCCGUGCCAGCCGCCGCGGUAAUUC